UACGGAGGGUGCAAGCGUUAUCCGGAUUCACUGGGUUUAAAGGGUGCGUAGGCGGGCAGGUAAGUCAGUGGUGAAAUCUCCAAGCUUAACUUGGAAACUGCCGUUGAUACUAUCUGUCUUGAAUACCGUGGAGGUGAGCGGAAUAUGUCAUGUAGCGGUGAAAUGCUUAGAUAUGACAUAGAACACCAAUUGCGAAGGCAGCUCACUACACGAAUAUUGACACUGAGGCACGAAAGCGUGGGGAUCAAACAGG
rnacentral:rRNA from 1 species